rnacentral:lncRNA from 10 species
AACUCUGUGUGACUUUGACGACUACAUCACACAAGCGUCAUGGCAGCCCUGUGAAGAGGCUGACUUGGAAAAAAAAAAAAAAAAGAAAUGCUUCUGCCAACGUCCAGCAACAUCUUCCAGCCAUAUGAAUGAGCCACCUUGGAAGUGGAUCCUCCAGCUCCAAACAAGUCUUCAGAUGUGUGUAACCCCAGCCAAUAUCCAACUGAAACCUCAUGAGAGACCCUUGGCCGGAACUACCUAGCCAAGCAACUCCUGAAAUCCUGAUCACAGAAACAGUAAGAGGCUCCACAGAGAAUAGAGCAGGAGUUGAUGAGUCUUGCAAUGAGAGAAUUGAUGAAAUACUUAAGGAAGAACUUCUUAACUGAAGGGCAAUUAAACACAAAUGGCUUUGCAUGGGAGGAUAUGGAAAUCU